CACAAGCAUGCUCUUCUCUUGGCGUUAUUUUGAGUAUUUUUUGGAGACACACCUUUUUCUGUACUCAUUUUUGAAACAUAAUUGGUUGAGAAUUUCUGAAUGUAGGAGGGUGCGGAAGUCUUGACAGAAGAUGUUCCAACAAAGCUUGUACCUUUCAAGUGUUCAUCAAAGAGGAGCAGAGUAGCAGAAGUUCAUAAUUUGUCAAAAAAAGAGAAGAAGGAGUAGGAUCAAUGAAAAAAUGAAGGCCUUGCAACAUCUAAUUCUGAAUUCUAUCAAGACAGAUCUUCUUUUGAUCGAUUGCAUCAACAGGUCGGCUAAGAUGAAGCUAGCGAACUUUUGUGUCAUCAACACAUCAAGUCUGUAUAUGGCAUCAAUGAGUAUCUAAUAGUAUUAUAGAUAUACAAGCUUAAAUUGGAGCAAAAGAGAUUAGAGGAGGAUGCUUUUGUUUAUAAUUCAUUUCAACAGCAGCUUAAAUUCUCACCAGCAUACCAGAAGGUAUUUAACAAAGAUUCUUGAAGUUGGGGCUUGCUGGACAAGAAAAAAUCCCGUAAACGAGUAGAGAACAGAGACGAUAAAUUUACUGACAUUUCUUUUGAAUAAUUAUUAGUACAAAAAAAGAAGGAUUCAUUCUGGCAAAAGUUGAAAAAUAAAGAUUGUGCUGAAACUUAUAACAAUUACUGGCAUGACUAACUGUAACCAGAGUUAGUUUAGUAUGUAAAUCUAAAGUUUACAACAGCGUACUGUCACGGUCACAUCAAUGUCUUUUUGGUUCUUUGUCUAUGCCAUUUUUUCUUGUUUGUGGGAUAUAGAUAUGAAUACAAAAAACAUUUGAGUUUUUUGGUAGAGUUUCUAUAUGAUAUAUUGGUAUUGGAGUUGGAGAACUAUCGGUAUUUUGAUAGA